AUUCUUGCCUGGAGAAUCCCCAUGGACAGAGGAACCUGGAAGGCUGCAGUCCUUGGGGUUAGAAAGAGUCGAAGCAACUAAGCACAGCACAGCAAUAAGGAUAUCUGGGUAUUUCUUUGAAUCAAUGGAGGCUCCUAUGAAACAAUCUUGGAUCCUUUGAUGGAGUGAGCACAAGCACAUCAGACAAAAAGCAUGCUUUUGGACCCUUCCUCACUCACCAGCUUGCUGCUUCUAGAGGGGUCAUUGGAACAGAACUUUACAGUUCCUGGUGAAAAAAAAUUGGAGCUGAGACUAACGUGUCUGAAAGACUAACGUGUCCCUGAAAGAAAUUCCUGUCCAGGGACUUCCCUGGUGGUCCAGUUAUUAAGACAUCACCUUCCAAUGCAGCAAGUGAGGAUUUUAACCCUCGUCAGGGAACUAAGAUCCCAC
ensembl:lncRNA